rnacentral:lncRNA from 1 species
CGUUUUCAAACUGAUCUCGCGGCACGCUCGCUCAUUCUGUCAGUCAGUCGCGCGUCGGAUCCGGGCAGCCGUACAACUUGCAACUUAAGUAGUUAAACGCCAAAAUCAGAAUAAUCAUGAGCACCAAUGAAAAAUCAGUGAAGUGGCCGUCGACAAGGUCGGUGAUGAGAGCAAGGGUGACGCCAAAAGUGACCUAAAAGGAGCGAAAAGGGCAGCCGAGGAAAAAACAACAGAAGCGAAAAAGGCGCGAAAGGAAGAAAAUGGCGGCGGCGGGGAGGACGAGCCGCAUAGUCCGGAGCUGGAUCUGUUUGUAGGAGAGGACGAUGUGGACGACGAUGACGACGAAGACGUCGAGGGCGAGGAGGAGGACGAGGAGCUAGGAGAGGAAGAGGAAGAGGAUCUCGAGGGGGACGAUGACGACGUUGAGGAGGACAUACUGGACGAGGAGGAAGAAGACGAUGCGUAAUACGCCUCGUGCCUCAGCAUGGACAAUGUCACAGUGAUGUGUUAGUGCUAGUGACGGCCCGGACUGACGCGGCCCCGCCUCGCCUCAACUGCGACAGCAGACAGACCCGCAGGCACACACGAGAUAGGAACAAACAGUUGGGAACACGCGGGGCCGGCAACGCUCCCACCUAAAACGGGUGCAGUUAUAAUUUAAAUGACAAAUGUAAUUAAUUAAGUGAAAUUCAAUGCAGAUUUUCAAUUUUUUACAAUAUUUAAGUUCGGUACCGAAGCUGUAUCAUUUAUUCUCGGCUCGAUGCAACGGGUGUGUAAUUAAGACUUAGUAGAAUGCUGUUGAAUUUUGUCAUGAAAUGUACAAAUGUGUUUUUCGAAAGUAAACUUAUUUUAAGUGAAAACCGCUCUGUAUUCUAGGUUGAUACCUGUAAGCCCGUCGUAUGGCGAAAUUGUGAUAUUUUUCUACAGUAGACACCUAACAUUUUAACAAUGCUUUAUUAUUGGUACACGUGCGCGCCAUUUUGAGACGCCGCGAAAAAGCGACCCUUCAUAAACCCCUAUGUUGAACACUCCCGAUAACCGUUUGUCAUGCCUAAUUACACAUUUCAACGGCUAUUGGAAGACUUCUAUUUGGUUUAAUACCAGAUGUAAAAAAAAAAGUAAAAUCAGUGUCCAAAUUUUGGCGCGGAAAAACUUUGAACAUGCAAACAAACAUUGGA